rnacentral:rRNA from 1 species
AGCGAACGCUGGCGGCAGGCCUAACACAUGCAAGUCGAACGGAUCCUUCGGGAUUAGUGGCGGACGGGUGAGUAACACGUGGAACGUGCCCUUUGGUUCGGAACAACUCAGGGAAACUUGAGCUAAUACCGGAUGUGCCCUUCGGGGGAAAGAUUUAUCGCCAUUGGAGCGGCCCGCGUCUGAUUAGCUAGUUGGUGAGGUAAAGGCUCACCAAGGCGACGAUCAGUAGCUGGUCUGAGAGGAUGAUCAGCCACAUUGGGACUGAGACACGGCCCAAACUCCUACGGGAGGCAGCAGUGGGGAAUCUUGCGCAAUGGGCGAAAGCCUGACGCAGCCAUGCCGCGUGAAUGAUGAAGGUCUUAGGAUUGUAAAAUUCUUUCACCGGGGACGAUAAUGACGGUACCCGGAGAAGAAGCCCCGGCUAACUCCGUGCCAGCCGCCGCGGUAA